GAGCGCCCUCAGAGGCACGGUCUUGUUCUAAGUGAGUGUGUUCAUGUUGGGGAGUCUGUCCGUUUUCACUAUUUUUCGUAAAGAUUUCAAGGUAAAACAGUCACCAUUCCGCGUUUAAAAGAGGGAAGAGUUGUCUGCUGCGAGCCUGCGGUGAAGGGCGGCCACACUGCGAAGAUCUACUCUAACUGUCCAGAAGCUGACUUCCUGAAGAAGGAAAAGUUCGAAUUUACCUUCAACGUGGAUUCCGACCCAAGCUAGCGUUUGCUAAGGGUGUAUUGGUAAUAAAAGUUGUGGGCAGCUUUGAUGUGCUAAAAAUCUUCUUGGGAACAAGCGUUGGUGCUCAUGGCAAAGACAAGGGGACAAGGGGACAAAAAUUCUGGUAUUAAUUUCUGGAAACUUUCCUGAAACUUUUAGUGCAACUAACUUCCCAGAUUUUGUUUGCUUAAAUAAAUUUCCUAGUUUUUCUGAUCACUGCUGUGAAAAAAUUAUUGUAGUGGCUAUUUUCAGAAAUUUUCUAUGAAUUUUUAAAGUUUGUAUAAUUGACCUUUUCCACAGCCACGACCGAGAAAUAGCGAAGAAUGGGACAAGUUGGUCUCUGAUGUUAUUGAAAGAGUGACAGUGUUUUGGUUCUGAGUAGAAUAUAUGCAUAUGCAUUUAGCGUGUGCAAAAAGGACUUUUAAAACAAGAGAACAGUGAAAGAGAAGUGUAAUCAUUUAACUGAUACCAUACUGAACCUUUUGUCAAGAUCAUGUCGAAGGAUUUGUAAAGAGACUUUCUUUAACAAGGGUGACACUUAAUAGCAAAUAAAAGCUAACAAACAUGUGGCCCUCCGAAAUUACGAUAAAUUACAAUAAUUCAUUACUAGUGUGAAAAAUGCAGAUAUGUGUAACUUGCAAUGUUUAUGCUCGUACACACUAAUUGACCAUUCAUAUAUAUGGUUGGGUGACAAUAAUGAAGCGAAAAGACAAAUUUUUCUGCGCUUUUGAAUAAUUAACAGACAAAUAUGCUCUCAUUGUUAUGAACUGUCAAGGGUUCUAUAAGAGUAUUUAAAGAAGCGUUGUAUGUAGAUUAGUUCUCUU